rnacentral:sRNA from 1 species
CUCUAAAGGCCGGUCUGGUGCCAUAACGAAUAGUGGUGUAAUUCUGGACAUCUUCUUCUAUUGCCAAGCCCUUAAGCUCUGCUGCAGAUGGAUUAUGGGUUUCUUCUCCAUUCAAAUCUACCUUGUCGUUGCCAUUUGCUUCCACUUCACCGGUUUUGUGUUCCCAGCGAUGCCAGAAAACAACCACAAGACCUCCAAAAAUCAACACACUUGCAACCAUACAAACAACAAACAGAAGUCCCUUGUACCACCAUGUUGUUAUGUUGUACUUGUUUAUGUAAAAGAUGUCCACCAAUGUGAUCAUUG